GACGAACGCUGGCGGCGUGCUUAACACAUGCAAGUCGAGCGGUAAGGCCCGUUUCGGGGGUACACGAGCGGCGAACGGGUGAGUAACACGUGGGUGACCUGCCCUCAGCUCUGGGAUAAGGCCUGGGAAACCGGGUCUAAUACUGGAUAUGACUCCAUGACGCAUGUUGUAGGGGUGGAAAGCCUUGUGCGGCUGAGGAUGGGCCCGCGGCCUAUCAGCUUGUUGGUGGGGUGAUGGCCUACCAAGGCGACGACGGGUAGCCGGCCUGAGAGGGCGACCGGCCA
rnacentral:rRNA from 1 species